UACGUAGGGGCCUAGCGUUGUCCGGAUUUAUUGGGCGUAAAGAGCUCGUAGGCGGUUCGGUAAGUCAGGUGUGAAAUCUCCACGCUCAACGUGGAGGCGCCACCUGAAACUGCCGUGACUCGAGUCCGGUAGGGAGUGUGGAAUUCCUGGUGUGAGCGGUGAAAUGCGCAGAUAUCAGGAGGAACACCGGUGGCGAAGGCGGUUCUCUGGGCAUUACCUGACGCUGAGGAGCGAAAGUGUGGGAGCGAACAGG
rnacentral:rRNA from 1 species